rnacentral:rRNA from 1 species
GACGAACGCUGGCGGCGUGCUUAACACAUGCAGGUCGAACGGAAAGGCCCUGCUUUUGUGGGGUGCUCGAGUGGCGAACGGGUGAGUAACACGUGAGUAACCUGCCCUUGACUUUGGGAUAACUUCACGAAACUGGGGCUAAUACCGGAUAGGAGCUCCUGCUGCAUGGUGGGGGUUGGAAAGUUUCGGCGGUUGGGGAUGGACUCGCGGCUUAUCAGCUUGGUGGUGGGGUAGUGGCUUACCAAGGCUUUGACGGGUAGCCGGCCUGAGAGGGUGACCGGCCACAUUGGGACUGAGAUACGGCACAGACUCCUACGGGGGGGAGGAGUGGGGAAUAUUGCACAAUGGGCGGAAGCCUGAUGGAGCAACGCCGCGUGCGGGAUGACGGCCUGCGGGGUGUAAACCGCUUGCGCCUGUGACGAAGCGUGUGUGACGGUAAUGGGUAAAGAAGCACCGGCUAACUACGUG